rnacentral:rRNA from 1 species
AGGGUUCGAUUCUGGCUCAGGAUGAACGCUGGCGGCGUGCUUAACACAUGCAAGUCGAACGGGAUCCCAGGAGCUUGCUCCUGGGUGAGAGUGGCGAACGGGUGAGUAAUGCGUGACCGACCUGCCCCAUACACCGGAAUAGCUCCUGGAAACGGGUGGUAAUGCCGGAUGCUCCAGUUGGAUGCAUGUCCUUCUGGGAAAGAUUCAUCGGUAUGGGAUGGGGUCGCGUCCUAUCAGCUUGAUGGCGGGGUAACGGCCCACCAUGGCUUCGACGGGUAGCCGGCCUGAGAGGGCGACCGGCCACAUUGGGACUGAGAUACGGCCCAGACUCCUACGGGAGGCAGCAGUGGGGAAUAUUGGGCAAUGGGCGCAAGCCUGACCCAGCAACGCCGCGUGAAGGAAGAAGGCUUUCGGGUUGUAAACUUCUUUUGUCAGGGACGAGUAGAAGACGGUACCUGACGAAUAAGCCACGGCUAACUACGUGCCAGCAGCCGCGGUAAUACGUAGGUGGCAAGCGUUAUCCGGAAUUACUGGGCGUAAAGAGUGAGCAGGCGGUUAGAUAAGUCUAUGGUUAAAUGCAACAGCUCAACUGUUGUUCGCUAUAGAAACUAUUUAACUAGAGUGCGGGAGAGGUAAGUGGAACUCCAUAUGUAGCGGUGGAAUGCUUAGAUAUAUGGAAGAACACCAGAGGCGAAGGCGGCUUACCAGUCCGUAACUGACGCUCAGUCACGAAAGCGUGGGGAGCAAAUAGGAUUAGAUAUCCUAGUAGUCCACGCCGUAAACGAUGAGAACCUGAUGCAGGAGAUAUUCUGUGUCGAAGCUAACGCGUUAAGUUCUCCGCCUGGGUACUACGUUCGCAAGAAUAAAACUUAAAGGAAUUGACGGGCGCCCGCACAAGCAGUGGAGCAUGGGGUUUAAUUCGUCGAUACACGAAAAACCUUACCAGGGCUUGACAUCCCGCUAAAAGCCUUAGAAAUAAGGAAAUAGUUAUAGCGGUGACAGGUGGUGCAUGGUUGUCGUCAGCUCGUGCCGUGAGGUGUUAGGUUAAGUCCUCAAACGAGCGCAACCCUUGUCUUUAGUUGCCAUUAUUAAUUUAGGAACUCUAGAGAGACUGCCGGCGCAAGCCGGAGGAAGGCGGGGAUGACGUCAAAUCAUCAUGCCCUUUAUGCCCUGGGCCACACCCGUGCUACAAUGGUCGGUACAAAGAGAAGCAACACUGUGAGGUGAAGCAAAUCCCAUAAAGCCGAUCUCAAUUCGGAUUGAAGUCUGCAACUCGACUUCAUGAAGCUGGAAUUGCUAGUAAUCGCAGAUCAGCAACGCUGCGGUGAAUACGUUCUCGGGCGUUGUACACACUGCCCGUCACACCAUGAGAGCCGGUAAUACUCGAAGUCGUUAGCCUAACCGUAAGGAGGGCGGCGCCUAAGGUAGGACUGGUGAUUGGGGUUAAGUCGUAACAAGGUAUCCCUACGAGAACGUGGGGAUG